UCGAGGAUCUUCGGCAAUGGGCGCAAGCCUGACCGAGCGACGCCGCGUGCGCGAUGAAGGCCUUCGGGUUGUAAAGCGCUGUGAGGGGGGAGGAAAGCCCGUAAGGGUCUGACCUAUCCCCAGAGGAAGCACGGGCUAAGUUCGUGCCAGCAGCCGCGGUAAGACGAACCGUGCGAACGUUGUUCGGAAUCACUGGGCUUAAAGGGCGCGUAGGCGGGUGAUCAAGUCCGGGGUGAAAUCUUUCGGCUCAACCGGAAAAUAGCCUCGGAUACUGGUCGUCUGGAGGGAGGUAGGGGCAUGUGGAACUUCCGGUGGAGCGGUGAAAUGUGUUGAUAUCGGAAGGAACGCCGGUGGCGAAAGCGACGUGCUGGACCUCUUCUGACGCUGAGGCGCGAAAGCUAGGGGAGCGAACGGGAUUAGAUACCCCCGUAGUCC
rnacentral:rRNA from 1 species